rnacentral:sRNA from 1 species
UCAACUCAAAAAAAACCCACAAAGAAGGAAUUGGCAAUGAAAAAGAUUGACGCAGAGAGAAGGGAAAAAGGAACUGUUUUUGCAAAAGUUGCUGACCGUAAUGGAAUAAGGA